rnacentral:rRNA from 1 species
GACGAACGCUGGCGGCGUGCUUAACACAUGCAAGUCGAACGGACAGGCCCUGCUUUUGUGGGGUGCUCGAGUGGCGAACGGGUGAGUAACACGUGAGUAACCUGCCCUUGACUUUGGGAUAACUUCAGGAAACUGGGGCUAAUACCGGAUAGGAGCUCCUGCUGCAUGGUGGGGGUUGGAAAGUUUCGGCGGUUGGGGAUGGACUCGCGGCUUAUCAGCUUGUUGGUGGGGUAGUGGCUUACCAAGGCUUCGACGGGUAGCCGGCCUGAGAGGGUGACCGGCCACAUUGGGACUGAGAUACGGCCCAGACUCCUACGGGAGGCAGCAGUGGGGAAUAUUGCACAAUGGGCGGAAGCCUGAUGCAGCAACGCCGCGUGCGGGAUGACGGCCUUCGGGUUGUAAACCGCUUUCGCCUGUGACGAAGCGUGAGUGACGGUAAUGGGUAAAGAAGCACCGGCUAACUACGUG